AGGACACCGAAGGGCUGACAAGAGGGAGAUAAAUGACCUCACAUUGUGGAUUGAGUGCAAGUCUGGUGGUUCCUCGUUUUAUGUCAAAUCUGCCCCCAUAUGCAGGAAAAGAAGAUGCAACUGUCCAAUGACACAAAUAAUCAUUCAAGGCUCCUGAAGCUAGACUUACAGAACAACAUGGAGGAAGAAGGCUGCAUAUUUUCUUAAUUUAAAAAAAAAAAAUGGUAUCUGGGGUGAGGGUGGGGGGAAGUGGUUGUCAGUUUUGCUCAAGUCUUUACUUUUCCCCAUCUCUCCAUUACUAAGUCGAAGUUUUCAUUAUACAGAUGCAAGUGCCAGGGCAUUGCAGAGGAAGUGCCAUAGUAAAUCUGAUUAUACCAUGAAAGGAGGCAAUUGCAUAAUGCUAUUUCUAUGACAUGGCUAUAAAUCAAGAGACUUUGUACAUAAAAUGAAACCUGCUCAGAUAAGACUGGGGAGAGAGGAGGGAGAAUAUAUUGUUUUAGUAUUGUUGAUCUUGUGUGCAAUAAGUUUCAAGACAUAUGUGAUGAGGAACUGUCGUGGGGGUCAGAAGUACAGCUACCUUAAUAGCAUUAAACAGAAUGAUUAGUUCUCAGACUGAAGUCUUAGGGUUAAGAAAUAUGACAGACCAGCAUAAAACAACAUCCCUGAAGUCUAAGUAGAUACAAUUUUUCCUAUUCGUCUUUCAUAGUCCAGUGCUCCACAUUACUUUCCUUUGAAGAAACACAAAAUGCCGUAAGUCAGAGCUUGACAGCUGCUACUGCAGUGAUUUAUAUACCUACUUGUCUGUAGUAGAUGGACUAUGGAAAAAGGACAGCUCUAACACAGACUGAGCAAAUUACUGAAAUUCAAAAGUCCAGGGUAAAGGAUAGCUUUGCCCAAUGAACUAUGUAAAUUUUCCAAGUUCUGGAAAAGCUUGAAGAGGCAGGGGCUGGGGGCAGGAGGGGGAGCAUCAUUAACUUUCCCCUCUGUACAACAGGAAUGAACAUACAAAUCCCAUCUUCCCAGUAUGUUGAGAGCCAAAAGUGAAAAAAAUCACAAAAAUAAAAUGUCAGUGUUAAAGAAGGGUAGUGGAGUCUCUACAUUUUGAUGCUAAAAUAAAAUCAUAUUGAUUAUUACUACAGCUUUCCAUUCUGAUUUUAUUUUGACAAAUGGAAGUUGGGGAUAUUAAGAAGGUAGACCUAAAUUGAUACAGCACUUAGAAGUAUAAACUUUUAAUAUUUUGUCAUUUUUUUGUGUUAAAGAUCCAAGUGCAUGGACAAUUUUGUGUUAGGGGGAACAGGUUAAGGGGCAACAUAAAUUGGGUUAAAUGACACUGGCUUGACAUUAACCUCCCACCCCCUGCCUCUCUUGAAUGCAUAUGGAAAUCUUGAGGAACUAGAUAGAUGUUAAUGCAAUUUCUGCAGGCUGAGUUCCAGUCUAAUAUAUCAUUUGUAAAGGAAUAGAACUUUUGGUAGUUAGGAGCCAAUGUCAGUCAAAAUUAAAUUAGAACCCAUUUAGGUAUUGUACAUUGUGAAUUACAUGGACAAACAAGUGUAGCUGGCUUGUACUUUAAUAUAGCAUGCUUACUGAUGUUUAGUUUCUGUGACGACUACAAUUCAAUCAGUUAAAAUUUGUCUCGAGUAUGGAUUAGUGGAUUUUUUCUUUUAUUUAUGCAGACAUCUUUUUUCUUCUUUUAUAUAUGCAGACAUCUUCAAGUAUGGUAUAAAUAAGAGAUGAUCAAUCAUAAAGUAUAUGCUACUACAGACUGUUUAUAAGUUUCUGUCUCUACAGCAACAUGAAUGAAGCAAAGAUUGCGAACAAAAGCUCCUUUAAAAAACAAUUGCACAUGAAUUAAGCAUUAUGAAUGUAAAGGACACAAUACAUACAGCUGGCAGGCAAC